rnacentral:rRNA from 1 species
UACAGAGGGGGCAAGCGUUAUUCGGAAUCACUGGGCUUAAAGGGCGCGUAGGCGGCUUGCCAAGUCAGUGGUGAAAUCCCGCAGCUUAACUGCGGAAGUGCCUUUGAUACUGGCGAGCUCGAGGGAGGUAGGGGUAUGUGGAACUUCUGGUGGAGCGGUGAAAUGCGUUGAUAUCAGAAGGAACGCCGGUGGCGAAAGCGACGUACUGGACCUCUUCUGACGCUGAGGCGCGAAAGCUAGGGGAGCAAACGGG